rnacentral:rRNA from 1 species
GACGGAAGGUGCAAGCGUUGCUCGGAAUCACUGGGCGUAAAGGGCGCGUAGGCGGCCCUCCUUGUCGCGUGUGAAAGCCCCGGGCUCAACCUGGGAACGGCGCGCGAGACGGGGGGGCUGGAGUUCGGGAGAGGAGCGUGGAAUUCCCAGUGUAGAGGUGAAAUUCGUAGAUAUUGGGAAGAACACCGGUGGCGAAGGCGGCGCUCUGGACCGAGACUGACGCUGAGGCGCGAAAGCGUGGGGAGCGAACAGG